rnacentral:rRNA from 1 species
GGGGACCCGCAAGCGGUGGAUGAUGUGGAUUAAUUCGAUGCAACGCGAAAAACCUUACCUACCCUUGACAUGUACGGAAGCCUGGAGAAAUCCGGGUGUGCUCGAAAGAGAGCCGUAACACAGGUGCUGCAUGGCUGUCGUCAGCUCGUGUCGUGAGAUGUUGGGUUAAGUCCCGCAACGAGCGCAACCCUUGUCAUUAGUUGCUACGAAAGGGCACUCUAAUGAGACUGCCGGUGACAAACCGGAGGAAGGUGGGGAUGACGUCAAGUCCUCAUGGCCCUUAUGGGUAGGGCUUCACACGUCAUACAAUGGUACAUACAGAGGGCCGCCAACCCGCGAGGGGGAGCUAAUCCCAAAAAGUGUAUCGUAGUCCGGAUCGCAAUCUGCAACUCGACUGCGUGAAGUUGGAAUCGCUAGUAAUCGCGGAUCAGCAUGUCGCGGUGAAUACGUUCCCGGGUCUUGUACACACC